GACGUAGGGCGCGAGCGUUGUCCGGAUUUAUUGGGCGUAAAGAGCGCGCAGGCGGCUUGGCAAGUCGGGUGUGAAAUCCCGGGGCUCAACCCCGGGACUGCAUUCGAUACUGUCAGGCUAGAGGUAGGUAGGGGAGAUCGGAAUUCCUGGUGUAGCGGUGGAAAUGCGCAGAUAUCAGGAGGAACACCGGUGGCGAAGGCGGGUCUCUGGGCCGAUACUGACGCUGAGGAGCGAAAGCGUGGGGAGCGAACAGG
rnacentral:rRNA from 1 species